rnacentral:rRNA from 1 species
CCUACGGGUGGCAGCAGUGAGGAAUAUUGGUCAAUGGGCGAGAGCCUGAACCAGCCAAGUCGCGUGAGGGAGUACUGCCCUAUGGGUUGUAAACCUCUUUUGUCGGGGAGCAAAAGCCGGACGUGUCCGGCUGUGAGAGUACCCGAAGAAAAAGCAUCGGCUAACUCCGUGCCAACAGCCGCGGUAAUACGGAGGAUGCGAACGUUAUCCGGAUUUAUUGGGGUUAAAGGGUGCGCAGGCGGAUUUUUAAGUCAGCGGUCAAAUCGUGGGGCUCAACCCCAUCCAGCCGUUGAAACUGGGGAUCUAGAGUGUGCGAGAGGUAUGCGGAAUGCGUGGUGUAGCGGUGAAAUGCAUAGAUAUCACGCAGAACCCCGAUUGCGAAGGCAGCAUACCGGUGCACAACUGACGCUCAGGCACGAAAGCGUGGGUAUCGAACAGGAUUAGAUACCCCGGUAGUC